CGCGGGAUAAAGUAGUUUGGUAGCUCGCAAGGCUCAUAACCUUGAGGUCAUGGGCUCAAAUCUCGUUCCCUCAA
rfam:Gossypium hirsutum cultivar TM-1 unplaced genomic scaffold scaffold3622.1, whole genome shotgun sequence